UACGUAGGGUGCGAGCGUUAAUCGGAAUUACUGGGCGUAAAGCGUGCGUAGGCGGUCUGCAAAGUCUGAUGUGAAAGCCCCGGGCUCAACCUGGGAACUGCAUUGGAAACUAACGGGCUCGAGUGUGGCAGAGGGGGGUGGAAUUCCACGUGUAGCAGUGAAAUGCGCAGAUAUCGGGAGGAACACCAAUGGCGAAGGCAGCUCGCUGGGACGGUACUGACGCUGAGACGCGAAAGCGUGGGGAGCAAACAGG
rnacentral:rRNA from 1 species